UAAGACGGAGGGGGCAAGCGUUGUUCGGAAUUACUGGGCGUAAAGCGCGCGUAGGCGGUACGUUAAGUGCAUCGUGAAAGCCCCCGACUUAACCGGGGAAGGGCGGUGCAAACUGGCGGACUAGAGUGCCGGAGGGGAAGGCGGAAUUCCUGGUGGAGCGGUGAAAUGCGUAGAGAUCAGGAAGAACGUCGGUGGCGAAGGCGGCCUUCUGGACGGACACUGACGCUGAGGUGCGAAAGCGUGGGGAGCGAACGGGAUUAGAUACCCCGGUAGUCCACGCCGUAAACGAUGGGUACUAGGUGUGGGCUUGGAGACCAAGUCCGUGCCGGAGCUAACGCAGUAAGUACCCCGCCUGGGGAGUACGGUCGCAAGGCUG
rnacentral:rRNA from 1 species